UUUCUGGUGUCUUUAUUUUUAUGGACCCACACCAAUCCAUCUCGAACUUGGUUGUGAAACGUAGAAAGAGUGACAAUACUUAAGCCGUGGGGCUUUGGGAAGAUAACUUGAUGCCAGGAU
rnacentral:rRNA from 1 species